AUUCAGAGGUCCCGAGCGUUGUUCGGAUUUACUGGGCGUAAAGGGAGCGUAGGCGGUUUGGUGUGUCGAAUGUGAAAGCCCACAACUCAACUGUGGAAUGGCAUUCGAAACUACUGAGCUAGAGUACUGGAGAGGAGAGCGGAAUUCUUGGUGUAGCGGUGAAAUGCGUAGAUAUCAAGAGGAACACCGGUGGCGAAGGCGGCUCUCUGGACAGAUACUGACGCUGAGGCUCUAAAGUUAGGGGAGCAAACAGGAUUAGAUACCCUGGUAGUCCUAACCAUAAACGGUGUACACUUGGUGUGCGAGGAAUUGUCCCUUUGCGCGCCGCAGCUAACGCGAUAAGUGUACCGCCUGGGGAGUACGGUCGCAAGAUUAAA
rnacentral:rRNA from 1 species